rnacentral:rRNA from 1 species
CACGGAGGAGGCAAGCGUUGUUCGGAAUCACUGGGCUUAAAGCGGGUGUAGGCGGAGUGGCAGGUGUUUUGUGAAAGCCCUCGGCUCAACCGAGGAACUGCAGGGCAAACCGCCACUCUUGAGGCGGGUAGGGGCAAGUGGAACUAUGGGUGGAGCGGUGAAAUGCGUAGAUAUCCAUGGGAACGCCAGUGGCGAAAGCGGCUUGCUGGGCCCGUCCUGACGCUGAGACCCGAAAGCGUGGGUAGCAAACAGGAUUAGAUACCCCCGUA